GAAAACAGCGCCUUUACUGCAAAGUUAUUUGAAUAAUAACAAGCUUAUAGAAUCAGUAAAUCAGCAGGAGCGUGUCACCACUAAACACUAGGCUGCAAUUCACAGUGCGACCGUGUAAAAAAGAGCAAUCACUUCAUCCCUGCAUAGUCACGCUUCUAGCUCGUGUCAUUGUCACCCACCUUGUCAAUAACUCAAAAUGGGCUUUUUUUGUUUCGUAUUUACUUAAAACACCAAAUUAUUCUCAAAUCUUUAGACACGUUCAUUGAAACCCAUCGAUAAACCACUCUAAAUUAGUCAAAAUUAAUCAAGAAAGAAGGAUUAUAUCAUUACCUGCCAGACAGGGUACCAAUGGUAGUGGAUGACGUUCAGUACUCUCCAGCAUUGAAAAGACAAUGAACGAAUUUACUCCUCAAAAUUAACUAGGUAAUUGUAUAUCCACAGCAAUUAAAUUCAGGUCCAUUUUUAGCGCCAGAAAAACCGCAGACAUAAUGAGUCUUGAGUAAAUAAAAAUUGAUUUUUCUUGGAGAUUACGGUCCGUCAACGAAUGAAAUUUCCGCCGUCAUGGUUUUAGUUGUAAAAUGCCUUUGUUUUUGACUAAAUACUAGGAGUUAAUUGCCACAUACCACCCGAUGAGAGCUCUUAAUUAAUGCUAGUGGUUUUGCGUGAGAACGUGGAUGAUACUUUUAAGUGGUUUUAGUUACAAAGGCUUCUAGUUACACAACCAUUCAUUCACGUAAAAUAUGAAGCCCUACAGUGCAAGACGCAACACAAGUAAUGGGAUUAUUAGCCAGAGAUUUCUGAAAGGUAAAAGGAACUUUCUUCAAUUGAUGAGGAAGCUAAGACUACGAAACAUUUGCUUUGUUGAAUGAGCGUGGACAAACACAGCGAAAACUAAAAGCUCAAUCGCAUUGGUCAUACACGAGGUGGCAGUCCAUGAAGAGGUUUUAGAAUUUCACAGUCGCGAAACGACGAAAAAUGGUCGAACAAAGAACUUCAUCAAUAUCUGAUAAGAAAGCCUACGACAAACCUAAAGCUAAGGAAAUCUUAUGGAAAAACAACAUAAAAGAAACUCUAAACAAAAAGCAGGAUUUUUUUUGCAAUAUACAGUUGAAAUGCUUCCUCCACUUUGGUUCCACAAACGGAAAUUCACUAAAUUCAUCGGUUCAAAGGAUAAUUUUGAAGUUUGACUUCGAAAGAGCAUUGGACAUUUCGUGAUAUUUGACAUAUCCAGACAGAAGGCCCUGAACAUCAACCGUAACACUUUCUAAACAAGAACACAUAUAGUUUAGCAGAAGACGGAAUCAAGUCCAAUCUUCUCAGAUUUACCAACUUCAGAUCAGUUGAAAGAAUGGAUUAUUCAUUCAUGUGCCAAAAUUGGAAUUCCGUCCUUCUAGACGAAAAGCAGGAAUUUUGAAAAGAAUUCCUAGCUCGAUGAUUGCAAACCAUGGACCAUGUUUACAAAAGAAUUCUUUCCAUAAAGUUGGAAAUUGCAUAUGAACAAAUCUCCAAUAAUUACUGAAAAGAGUUUGAUAACAAAGUUAUAUAGUAGUGGAGUUUUGCCUGCACAAGAAUCAAGCCACAAAUUGCAUAUCCCACAAACAUCCAACAUACAGGACGAUGUGACGUGUAUCAGUUCAGUUGACUGAGUUGGGAAAUUGGAAAGAAGUCUGGAAAAAUUGAUUAAAAAUGCAAGCAACGAACACAAAAGCCCACAUUGGUAACCAAAAUAAUGUCGUUUGCGGAACUAGUCGAGCGAUUUAUUGCAUCAAGUAUUAAAAAGUUG
rnacentral:lncRNA from 1 species